rnacentral:lncRNA from 1 species
UAGAUAUUAUGUGGCAACCCCACAUCCGGAUACUUGAAACCCGAACUCGGUUCUCCACGAUACCAUUUCUUUAAGCUGAAUAAUACUAAAUAAUAAUAAUAAUAAUAUAAUUUGAACUUAAUUUACAUACAUCAAAGUUUACUUUCCCAGGUACGUGACCUUCAAAUACAUUCCUUACAAUACCUGACAAUAGAUUCUAUUGUCUUACUAACUAUAACCAUUAACUCAUACUAAUUCUCAUUCGAACAGCUUUUCUUUUCCCUUGUUCGUGCCUGAGCCUUCAGGUCGAUCGUAGGUAACUGAAAACAUUUAGUUUAAGCAAGGAUGAGCAUUUGAGUGCCCAGCAAGUAAUAACAAUUAUAUAUAUAAGCUGAAAGAAUAUAAGUAUUCUCUUU